CCGUAGCUAACGCAUUAAGUGCCCCGCCUGGGGAGUACGGCCGCAAGGCUAAAACUCAAAGGAAUUGACGGGGGCCCGCACAAGCGGCGGAGCAUGCGGAUUAAUUCGAUGCAACGCGAAGAACCUUACCAAGGCUUGACAUUCACCGGACCGCCCCAGAGAUGGGGUUUCCCUUCGGGGCUGGUGGACAGGUGGUGCAUGGUUGUCGUCAGCUCGUGUCGUGAGAUGUUGGGUUAAGUCCCGCAACGAGCGCAACCCUCGUUCUAUGUUGCCAGCACGUGAUGGUGGGGACUCAUAGGAGACUGCCGGGGUCAACUCGGAGGAAGGUGGGGAUGACGUCAAAUCAUCAUGCCCCUUAUGUCUUGGGCUUCACGCAUGCUACAAUGGCCGGUACAAAGGGUUGCGAUACUGUGAGGUGGAGCUAAUCCCAAAAAGCCGGUCUCAGUUCGGAUUGAGGUCUGCAACUCGACCUCAUGAAGUCGGAGUCGCUAGUAAUCGCAGAUCAGCAACGCUGCGGUGAAUACGUUCCCGGGCCUUGUACACACCGCCCGUCAAGUCACGAAAGUUGGUAACACCCGAAGCCGGUGGCCUAACCCCUUGU
rnacentral:rRNA from 1 species